GACGAACGCUGGCGGCGUGCUUAACACAUGCAAGUCGAACGGAAAGGCCCUGCUUGCAGGGUACUCGAGUGGCGAACGGGUGAGUAACACGUGGGUGAUCUGCCCUGCACUUCGGGAUAAGCCUGGGCAACUGGGUCUAAUACCGGAUAGGAGCCAUUUUUAGUGUGAUGGUUGGAAAGUUUUUUCGGUGUAGGAUGAGCUCGCGGCCUAUCAGCUUGUUGGUGGGGUAAUGGCCUACCAAGGCGGCGACGGGUAGCCGGGCUGCGAGGGUGGACGGCCACAGUGGGGCUGAGAUACGGCCCAGACACCUACGGGAGGCAGCAGUGGGGAAUAUUGCUCAAGGGGCGCAAGCCUGAUGCAGCGGCGCCGCGUGGGGGAUGACGGCCUUCGGGUUGGAAACGCCUUUCGCUAGGGACGAAGCUUUUUGUGACGGUACCUAGAUAAGAAGCGCCGGCUAACUACGUG
rnacentral:rRNA from 1 species